rnacentral:lncRNA from 1 species
AUUCUAUCUUUUGGAAUAUAAAUUGUUCUAAUGCAUGUAUAAACUAAACAUUUUCUUAGAUUAUAUGUAUAUUUUUCUAUCUUAGGCUCUACAAAAAUCUAUGCUUCCAUAACAAAUGAUUCGUUUUCUAGGUAGUUCUGAACAAACAAGACUCACUUUUAAAACUAUAAUANGUUCUGAACAAACAAGACACACUUUUAAAACUAUGAUAGGUAUAGUUUUACGAACAAAAUUUCUAACUCUUACGUACUAAAAACACGAAUUUCAAGAAGUCACUUUCAUAUACAAAAACAAAUGAAACAUUU